GUCACACUAUAGUAGUUUCUAGAGAACCCGAACGCGGGAGCUCGUCCGCGGUUCUAAUGGCCAGUUGAGGAAGCAGUUGACGAACACCAGUCCAGCACACGCGGCCCAUACGACCAGAAUAGUGAUGAAAGGGAAGGUGACAGCGGAGGAUGCAUAAGAGCCAAUCAUCAGGGCGAUGAAGGUGGAACGCAGGUCACCGAACAUAUUGGGCAACUGAGACUGAACAACAACAAGAACAUUCAAUUACAUAAGAGAUGGGGAAAAAGAGAAAGCGGAGGGGUGCCCCCAUGGCGAGGAGCCAGCGGUUACAGCUGACUGUUGCCCAACGCCUUAAAGGCCAUGCCUGUGUCGACUAGAGGGUUGCGGGGGUGCUGGAGCCUAUCUCAGAUACAGGUAAAUAACCACUUAUCAAGACCGAUA